CAUUUUUUACAUAAUCGGCAUCGGCCAAUAUUAAGCCGAUUAAUAGGCAGGCGCAUCUGCGGGCAGCCUGGUGUUGUUGUUGUUGUGGAACACGUGUUUGACGCACGCUGCCCCUAGAGUCAAUUACCAGCAGAGUGAGCAGACCUUAUCCAGUGCCUAAAGAAGGAGCUGUUCCUCGGAGAAAACGUCAUUAAGUCUGAUGGCUGAAAAGAAAACCACCCCCUUAUGGCAGCGCUUCACCCAGCCAACACCA